rnacentral:misc_RNA from 1 species
GAUGAAGAACGUAGCGAAAUGCGAUACGUAAUGUGAAUUGCAGAAUUCAGUGAAUCAUCGAAUCUUUGAACGCAUAUUGCGCUCUCUGGUAUUCCGGAGAGCAUGCUUGUUUGAGUAUCAGUAAACACCUCAACUUCCAUAUCUUUUUUGAAAUGGGAGUUGGACUUGAGUGAUCCCAACGCUUUUCCUCACCGAAAAGUGGCGGGUUACUUGAAAUGCAGGUGCAGCUGGACUGGUCUCUGAGCUAUAAGCAUAUCUAUUUAGUCUGCCUAAAAACAGAUUAUUACCUUUGCUGCAGCUAACAUAAAGGAGAUUAGUUCUUGUGCUGACUGAUGCAGGAUUCACAAAGACAGGCUUCGGCCGACUUUGUAAACUCGAUCUCAAAUCAAGUAAGACUACCCGCUGAACUUAAGCAUAUCAAUAAGCGGAGGA